rnacentral:pre_miRNA from 1 species
AUAUUACUCCCUCCGUCCAACAAAGGAUGUCUCAACUUUGACCAAAUUUAAAUGCAUUUAUAUACUAAGUCAUGUCUAAAUACAUUCAAAUUUUGAUAAACUUGAAACAUCUUUUGUUGGACGGAGGGUAGAAA